rnacentral:lncRNA from 1 species
UGGAGGAAGGUGGGGAGAGGUGGGACGAGGUGGAGGAAGGUGGGGAGAGGUGGGACGAGGUGGAGGAAGGUGGGGAGAGGUGGGACGAGAUGGAGGAAGGUGGGGAGAGGUGGGACAAGGUGGAGGAAGGUGGAGAGAGGUGGGACGAGGUGGAGGAAGGUGGGGAGAGGUGGAGGAAGGUGGGGAGAGGUGGAGGAAGGUGGGGAGAGGUGGAGGAAGGUGGGGAGAGGUGGAGGAAGGUGGGGAGAGGUGGAGGAAGGUGGGGAGAGGUGGAGGAAGGUGGGGAGAGGUGGAGGAAGGUGGGGAGAGGUGGAGGAAGGUGGGGAGAGGUGGAGGAAGGUGGGGAGAGGUGGAGGAAGGUGGGGAGAGGUGGGACGAGAUGGAGGAAGGUGGGGAGAGGUGGGACGAGAUGGAGGAAGAUGGGGAGAGGUGGGACAAGGUGGAGGAAGGUGGGGAGACGUGAGACGGGGCGGAGGGAGGUGGGGAGAGGUGGGACGAAGUAGGGGGAAGGAAAGGUUGCCUGGUAGGGCCGGACGCUGCCUGCCAGGCCUGCUGGGCCCGAGGGCGAGGCGGAGGCCAGGGGCUGGCGGGAGCAGGCGGGGAGCUGGCUGCUGCAGGGGCCAGGCGGAGCCGGGGUGCGCGCCCAGAAGGUCCUUCCCCGCUUGCUUCCAGCUUGGGAGAGACCGCCCAGAGCAACUCCAGGGAGCGCAGCCUGGUCUCCCGCGCAGCUUGCGUUUAUCUAACCCUGACGCCGGCGGUGGGGUGUGUGUGUGUGGGGCCGGCGCAGCGCUUCCGGGGAAACCAGGCGCACGCGCACGCGCAGGCGCAGGCGCAGACGCACGCGCAGGCGCAGACGCAGGCGCACGCGCAGACGCACGCCAGGAGUGGAAGCCCCCGCACAGCGAAGCUUCCGCCCGGCGGCGGAGGCCCGGGGUUGGUGAAGCGUCGAGGCGGCCGCGACUGAUGAUUCGGCCUCUCCCUCCGCUGCUUGGGCCGGCUCCUUAA